rnacentral:lncRNA from 1 species
UCACACAGGAAACAGCAUAAUAACAUCAUAAAUCCGGCCAUCUUCAAGCCGAUGGCCAUCAGAAGCAGCCUCCUAUGUUCAAGCUUCCGCUCAUGAUCACCGGCACGCCGCGCUCCGCGCACAGGCACUUGAGCUUCCACUCCGGUAUCACCUCGCUCUCGCCCCGACCGCUCCUCUGCCACCGGCUCGACGACGCGCUCCUCGAACUCUCCUUCCCGCGCUCACGUUCCUGCUGCUGCUGCUGCUGACCUCUUCCCGCCGCUCUAUCCUCGGCCACCUCCUGUGCCACAAAAUCCAUCUCUCAACCACGGGAGCACUCUCCUGAGACAGAUCUAUCCAGUACUAGGGAGACGGGAGGUUGCCGUGGUGCCUUUAAGAUAAGCUCCCACGAAGCAUCUGGUAGGGUAAGUUAAUGCGGUGGGACCAACACUUGUUAUUUUGUACAACCGAGUUGCGGUAGAAAAUGACACGAGGCGCUGGCUGUCGGCAUGGAAGCAUAGAAAACGUCAGGUUGUCGGUUCCUGUGGAUAGAGAUAAGAAGCGGCAGGUACGGCGUAUGUGUGCAUUAAUGUUGUAUUUAUCCUUUGUUUUUUUUCUUAUCUAUGCGAAUAAAGUCAAGUAGAUCAAUCAUAUAAAUUCUCUUUGACGACGGUGUUCUUCGAAAAAAUUAUAACACACCCCAAAUAUUUUUUCAAAAAUACAUAAAUUUAUGGAUGAUUUCUCAAAUAGAAUUUUUACUUUACCAAUUUUUUUUCGAAGCAUCUGUCCAGCUAGUCACUCUCUUCUUCCUGAAUAAUCGUUCUUACGUAGUCCUCUGGCAUGAGGAUAACUUAUCGCAAUGUCGUUCGUAGAUCUGUCUCUUCCACUUGCCCAUAACUUACGUCAUUGAUCUUAGGAGAGAAAGAAAGAGGGUGCAUCAUCAAUCGUAAGUAAGGAUAAAGAGAAGAGGAUUGUGCACCCUCAUUGUUAGACGCUGGGGAUGAAAGAGAGGCGCACGCCUUCAUUGUUGCUACCUCAUGCGAGGGUUGCAGGCAAAACGUGCAAUGGCUUGAUUGGUGGAGUCAACAGAGGCGGUUUUGUUGGUUAUGGGUGAUGGUGAAUCUGACAAAAGAAUGAGCAAAGUGAUAUUUUCACAUUGUUAGGAGUGUUGUUUCAUAAUUUUUUAAAAUAGAGAUGCUAAGCAAAAAAUUAAAAAAAAUAAAAAGUUUUUUCAAUAAUUCAUCUUAAAUUUAUAAUUAUUAAUUUAAAUAUUUUAUAACUUAUUAUGAUGUGAUAAAUGAUUAUUAUUAGACAUGAUAAGAAAAUCAAUAGCAUAUCACAAUGACGAUAUUAUCGAAGUUUAGUUGAAUCAUUUUGGACUAGUGGUAUAUACUCUAAAUAAAUUGUCUUAUGUUUCGAUAGAAAAAUAUAAUAUUAUCACGAAGAAUAUUCAUCUUUAAGUACAGAAAAUGAUAAAAAAAAAAUCUUAUUGACAAAUGCAUCACAUAAAGAGAAUUAGAAAAAAAAAUAUUUUGAAUAAUUCAUAUUAUAAGAAAUAUUUCAUUGACCACAAAUGGUUAGGUAAAGAUCUAACUAUAAAAUAUAAAUAUAAACAUGAUUAUCAAGGUCGAGUAGUCUCUUUAUCGAAACCAAUAUCGGGAAGUGAUCACAUCCGAAAAAACAUUAAUCUUCGUGCAUAAGAGAGCUUAUGAAUCCUCAAAAAAAUAUUUUUAAUUAAUAAUCAAAAUGUAAUUAAUAAUCAAAAUUUAGGUAAAGAGCUUAUUAAUCACUCAAAAAAGUUUACAAGCUCAGGGUAAAAAAAAUGUUUUUAAUUAAUAAUCAAAAUUUGAUUACUUUCAAGGGGUAAUUAUUGAGAUUUUAGAAUUGUGACGGUAUAAAUGUGAAGAAAACCCAAACUGAAAAAUAAUAGCUUGUUUUUGUUACAACAAAUACAUGAUCAUAAGAUUGUUUUUGUUAUUCGAUAUACGAAAGUACUACUAGACUUUCAGGUCGUACAUAUAAGCUCAUAACUAUUUGACUGCCAAAACUCUCUUUUUGAGAAACAAAUUUUGAUUCUUCAGAUUCUACUCGGCCACUUUCUAAUUCUUCUUUCAAAAGCUUUUCUCGAGCAUUCGUCCUCCCAUCUCAAGAGAUUUUUGAGUUGAGUGUCGUAGGGGGAUUUCGUCACACAAUCUUCUUUGGAGCAUCUUUAAUCUAUGUGAUAGUUAAUAACACCUUUAUUUUUGCACAUCGAUUACCUUAACUUAGUGAAAAGAUUAUAUUAUAUAUAUAUAUAUAUAUAUAUAUAUAUAGUCUAAUACCUAGAAUACCUCUAGUCAUUUAUCUUUUUUUUCUUUCUUUUCUUAUGGAUAGAUCUAUAAGAUAAAUCAGUCUAGUUAUAAUAUUUUUAUAUUUUCAUGGUAUUACUAGAAAUAUUAUAAUAUUAUAUAAAAUACUAAAAUAUAGCGUAAAAAUAUUAUAAUUAAGACAAUUUAUCUUAUGUAUUGCCCUAUAAGAAAAGAGGUAAAGAAAAAAAAAGUUUGGUAGUUGGUUACCAAAUUAAGGGUAUGCCAAGUAUAAGAAAGAAAAAAUCUAUUAGCAACCCUUUUUUAGUAUGGAGAUUUAUAUUGACAACUCUUUUGUUUUGUCUUAUUCUCUUUCGAGUGAUGAGUGAUGGAUGAUAUAUCAUAUCAAAAUGAUAAGUAGUGUCGAGGGGAGAUGGAGGAGAUUUAUAAUUGAGGAUUAUUGAUAAUUAAAAUAUUAUAAAUAAAUAAAAAAUUUAUUAUUAUUUAUUUAUGGGUUGUCAAUAACAAGGAGGUUAUCGAUAGCAAAAAAAAAAAAAAAGGGUUGCCAAUAGCAAGAUUCUUUUGCUAUUCACAUCUCAUUUUUUAAAUUAUUAAUAUUCUUAAUAUAUCUCUCUACAAAUAGAUGUAAACAUUUUUAUUAUUUUUCCUCUUUUCUCCUAAUCACGACAUCUACAACAUCAAAUGAUAUCGAACAAACGCAAAUGCUCUGAUCAUCUUUUCAUUAUUAUUAUUAUUAUUCUUUUAAUCAUGAGCCAUGUUGAGAGGGCAUCAUCACGAUCAGCGAGCUAUGAGCAAUAAGUGGUAUUAAGGUUUGUGAAAAACAAAAGAAUCAAAUUGGUAAUUGAGAUAGUGUAAAUAAUAAAAUUAUACUUAAUUUUUUUUUAAGGGAUUACCAACAGUAAAAUGAAAUACAGUUAAAAAAUUCUAUAAAUAAAAAAAUACUUGUCAAAAAUGUCAAAGAGUGAAGGGUUUUUUUUUUUUUUUUGUGGGGAAAGAUUCGACCUAAAAUAUAUAUGUAAAUUAAUGAAAUAUAUUCGACAUUAAAGAGAAGAGCAUUGAAUCGUCUGCUCUUUCCCGUUUUCCGUGGAAUCACUAUCUUUACCGUCCCCCGCGUUGGAUCUUUCUGGCUCACGACACCGAAUCCAGCCGCAGGAUGAUGAUCCCUCCAUGACGCGUCCACACCAGCUGUCAAAUCUUGUCUGAUUCCCUCGAUGACGCGCCCCAUCGCUCGCCAUGUUCUCUCUUCCCAUCUCCGCGGCCCAAUGACCUUUGUCUGCCCAGCUGCGAUGCCUUACAUCCCUCCAUCGAAGUCAGUGUCCAGGCAAUGAUCCGCCGACACUUUCUCACUGACUCGUAAAACCCGCCCUCCUCUCUCACCACCUCCCUCUUUGCCCCCCCACCAUGGCGCGUAGGAACACUCCCUCGCUCGUUUCUCCUGCCGGAAGCCGGCAGGUAUCCCCAUUGCCGUUCUUGUUCUUUGCCCUGCUGUUCUUCGCCUGUUCCGGCCCCGCCAGCGAAGCCAGAUGCGUGUUCCCGGCGAUCUUCAACUUCGGGGACUCCAACUCCGACACCGGCGGCUUCUGGGCGGCGUUCCCGGCGCAGACCGGCCCCUUCGGCAUGACCUACUUUAAAAGACCGUCCGGCCGCGCUUCCGACGGCAGGCUCUUCAUCGAUUUCUUAGGUACUGACCAUGCUUCGAUGGUUUCUCUUUCUUGCUUGGUGGUGAAAGAUGGCUCUGCUUCUUGGAAAUGCGCAGCUCAGGCACUCGGAUUGCCGUUCCUCAGCCCCUACCUGCAGUCCAUCGGCUCGGACUUCCGGCACGGCGCCAACUUCGCGACGUUGGCCUCGACGGUACGGCUGCCCAACACCUCCCUCUUCGUCACCGGAAUCAGCCCGUUCUCCUUGGGGAUUCAGCUCAACCAAAUGAAAGAUCUCAGAACCAGAGUUCUUGCGCUGAAGGGAACUGGUAAAAUGCCACUCAUUCUACAUGUGUGUUUCAUGGUUUCUUUAGUCGUCGAAUGAUGCAGACAGAGGAGCAAAUAUUUUAGCCUGUUGGUGAACAUGAAAACGAUUUACAGUACUGAAUGAUCUAAAAUUAACCAUGCCAUGGAAAGCUUCUAAGAUCGAUCAUGUUCAUGAUUCAGAACAUCUUCCUCCUGGCAAUGUCUUCGGUCAAUCACUCUACACCUUCGACAUCGGCCAGAACGACUUCACCUCCGAACUGGGAUCUCUCGGCAUCGGAGCAGUCAAGCAGUAUCUUCCUCAGGUCGCAUCUCAGAUUGCCUGGACCAUAAAGGUGAAACAGGAAGCUGCUGUCAUCUGUGUUCCGCAGGAAGCGGAUUCACUCGCCAUUUCUGUGUUAUGCAGGAGAUCCAUGACAUCGGAGGGCGGACGUUCAUGGUGUUCAACCUCGCCCCCGUUGGAUGUUACCCAGCUUUUCUGACAGAGCUUCCUCAUAACACUUCGGAUUUAGACUCAUACGGCUGCAUGAUUUCCUACAACAAUGCCGUCGUCGACUACAACAAUCUGUUGAAUGACACUCUCCAACACAUGAGAGACAUGCUUCCGGGUGCCACCAUCAUAUAUGUAGAUACUCACUCUGUCAAGCUCGAGCUCUUUCGACAUCCCAAAAACCACGGUAAUAACCUCUCCGGAAACAUUAUUGGCCUCGACUCGAUCAUAAUUCUCCGAGCAACAUGACGAUUAGCAGACUUCCGUCGUUCCCACACCCUUCAAUACCGUGCAAACAGGAACAUAGUCCACCAUUGACUUUGGCUUGGGAAGAACUCGAACAUCUAAACUCGAACAUCGCGUGAAUCUAAGUUUUGCCUUCUCCAUGCAAAUUUAUUGGCACUAUCCUUCGUUCAUCAUUCCCGAUCAUGACCUAACUAGUGACAAAUACAGGACUCAUCCACGGAACCAAAGCUUGCUGCGGACAUGGAGGUGGUGCUUAUAACUUCGACCCACAGGUUUUCUGUGGAAACAGCAAGGUGAUAAAUGGCAUCAAGGUGACUGCAACUGCUUGUGGAGAUCCACAAAACUACGUGAGCUGGGAUGGGAUUCAUGGCACAGAAGCUGCAAACAAACGAGUAACCGGGGCUGUACUCGGAGGUUCCAUCUUUCAUCCUCCCUUCCCUCUUUCCAAGCUUUGUGAUCUCCAGCCAAUAGGUUAAGCAGCAAUUAGCUUUUGUGUUUAAGAAGGUGCAAACAAGAAAUCAGAGCUUAUCAGGUCUAAGAGUGACGAUAAGUUACUUAGUUUUUAUAGUGGUAUACAGUGUCUUCUUUGAAGUGGUAUGAGCUUGAAGGUGACUCUACAAUAAAUGAUAUGAGCAUAAAUUUAAAGAAGAUGAUGGCUGAUGAUAAAGUACAAAGUUUAAUUGAACAUACAUACCCUAUGAAUGAUUUGAUUGUUUCUUUUACAAUUUAGAACUUAAUCGUUUCCUUCCAAUCUUUAAUGGAGAUGACGAGUGCAUGGUGUCUUCACUGUCACUCUCACUGACUGCCAUUUUUUUGUUAUAAGCUAUCGAAUUAUGGAGGCCCAAUUAAGGUAUUCGUUCCUCAUUUGUGUUUAAGCCUACCUCCUACUAAAGUUCAAGCUUUUCUCUGGUACACUCACUCUUAUACAAGGUAGAGAUUGUGAUAUCUUGAUCUAGUUGACAUUGAAAGUAGAUUAAGUUAAUGAAUUAAUUAUCUCAAUAAAAAAUUAUGAUAAUUGAUAUCAAAACCAUCGGUAGGAAAAGAAUCAUUGGAUAUGUCAUAGCAUUGAAUUAUUAUUGGACUUUACCUCAUAUAUAUAUAUAUAUAUAUAUAUAUAUAUAUAUCAAAUAAUUUAAACUUACGAAAUCGACGAUUUUGAUUUUCCCAACCUAUGAAUCAAAAGUGAAUUAUUUGGAUGUCCCAAUCAAAAUCUGUCUCAGUGGCCAUCUUAAGAAGAUUGGGUGAGGUUGACAUGACACUUCGAAUCGGAACAAAAGGCCCCUCCCCUAUCACUGUUGGAUGAGCGAGAGUGGUGUCUUUGGGACCUCAUGUUUUCUUUCGACCGGACUACGCCUCGCCUUAGUGAGAUGUUACCAUCACAAUGUCCAAAUUUUCUACUCGAUGUGAUGUACGCCAACUUACACUUGCAAGUCAACAGACAAAGUUACGCUUCACAUGUAUCGUUUGGAGUUAUAAAAGGAUUUAAAUUAUUUUACAAAUGUUCGUGUACAAAAAGGAAACACCAAAUAUCAAGAUUUGAUUUUGGCUUGUGAUGCUAGCUCGUGAAGUCAACGCAAAGUUGGGGAUUCAUAUUGUUGAGAAGAAAUCUUCUAGCAACAACAAUAAUAAUAAAAUUAUAAGUAUUAAUUAUUUAGAAUUGAUUAUAUGCGUCUUUUGUUGUCGUUGAUAUUUCUAAAAAUUUAUAUGUUUAGUUAAGUUUAAAGUGCUCGAGUCCUUAUUUAUAGUAUCUAUUAAGUCUUUUAUGUUUUUUUCAAUCUUUUCUCGUAUCACUAAUAUUAAUUAUUUUACCUCUUAUGAUUAUCUCAUCCGGAGAUCCCUUCAAUAAAUGCUCAUAUUAUCUUAAAUAAUUUUUUUUCUUUUUAUCUUUACUCGAAACGAUACUUAGUUGUUCACAAAUAAAAGUAUUUCUUUUUCUAUUUCUAGUAACUUUAUGCAUCCAUCUAAUAUUUUGAUCUUAAUAACAUAAUUUUUUAAUAUAUUUUUUCUUAACUAUCCAAUAUUUAAAUUCAUAAAUUAUUAUUGGUCUCAUAACUGUAUUAUAAAUUUUUUUUUCUGUAAUCUUAAAAGUAUUCGAUGAUCACACAAGAUUUCUGAUGUCUAUCACCAUAUUAACCAUUUAGUUUUUACUCCAUGAAUAAUAUCUUCAUCGAUCUUUUCAUCUCGUUGAAUAACAGAUUCCGGAUACUUAAAACUUUUAUUUAAAGAAGCUUUUAAUCAUUCUGAUUUAAUUAUAUUCUAUUGUUUAUUUCUAUAAUCACUAAGAUUAAAUUAUAUAUAUUCAAUUUUAAUCAUACUUAAUCUAAACAAAUUUCUACUAGAACUAAUAUAAUAAAAAAAUAAAUUUUCUACUCGAACUAGACAAGAAUUAUCAAACCACGUAAAAUUUGAAGAUUAUUGCUUAACUUUGUGUUUGAUUAUUCUUGAUUUCUAGAUUUUUUCAAUACAAUUAUGUUUUUAUUAUUGAAACUUAGAAUAAGUAUUUUUUAUCAUCUCGAAUAGGCUAUAUUUUCGAAAUGGAUGAAAUGACACAUUAACGUCUGAUCGAGUGAUUGGUUUGACAAUAAUUUACAGAAACUAAUUAUCUAUUAGAUAACAAACAAGACAAUACGACUAAAGUAGUGAAACUUAUGCCAUGCAAACUUUUGACGUAGCUCGCUAUAAAAAGAAAGAAUGCAAUAGGCACUCGACUCAAAUUCUAGAGAGAGAGAGAGAUAAAAGUGACUUUCUUUUUACCAUGUCAUAAACAGACAUAAAAAGAAUCUCUAUUUUAUUUUUUUUUUGCAAAAAAGUUUGAUUUGUGGUUACACUAGAGUGAGUCAAAAUGGUACUAUUAACAUCAUUUGAAUCAUGCAAAAGGAUGGAGGUCGAGAAAGCUAAUUGUAAGUGAUUAGGAUAGUUAGGACAAUUAUUGGAGUGGCACAAUUGUUUGUCGAGGUGAGAUCAACGUGGCAUAGUUGUUUCUUCGGUGGCGGUGGCGCAACUACCUACCUAUGUAAUAAUUGAGGUGAUGAAUAGUUACCCUCUUAAAAGACAAUUAUGUUAUAUAGGGAGACAGCAUAGCUAUCUCCCUAUAUAACAUAACUUCCUAUUGAGGUAGUGUGACUUCUCCUAAGAGUAGAAAACCAUCUCCCUAUAUAAUCUAUAAUGUCCUAUUUAGAUCUCUACUUAAACCAAAGCUUUGUCACCUUCGAUUAGGUUGAAAUCAGUGCUUUACGGAAAAAUUGCUGAGCAACUCAAAGCUUUUAGUCCUUCUGAUUUGAUAAUCUCAUCUACAACUCAAGCUUUCAAAAUCUUCCAUGCUCAUGAAUCAUUCAACAAUGUCAUGCAAUGAUUAAAUGAUUACCACUGGCUAACAUUUCAUAUCUAUCUUUUUUUAAGAUUAUUAUUUUAAAUUAUAUUAAAUGACUUUUCAUGCAUGCACUUAAAUUUCUCACUUAUACAAUAAUACACUAAUAAAUUGGAUGUCUCGAUACAUCUAAGUAUGCAUAUAACAAACAGUCCCUAUCCUAAAGUUUGUGGGUUUUGAUGCAAUAUUCUACCUCCAUAGGAGACAUGAAGCACUAGAUAUACUAAUGAUUAGCAUGAGUCACACAAUAGGGGACAUGAAGCACUACAAGGUCCUUUAUAUAUAUAUAUAUAUAUAUAUAUAUAUAUAUAUAUAUAUAUAUAUAAAAUGGAGCCUCGCAUGCAAAUGAUAAGACUUUGAUCCACUAAACGAGAUGACAACUAAAAUCUCGUGAUCCAAAAUGGCAACUUUGAUUCAAUAGAAUUUGUCAAUGUGGCUAAGUAAUCGAUGCAUCCACUCUUACUCGAAUGGUGGGACCAUCAAAUCCUUCACAUUCAAUAAUUUCGAAUGUCACAAUCUCCACCACAUUAUUUUAAGACACACACGUAACAUUACAACAUUAGCCAAAACAUUUUAAUCGUAUUCUUCAUGCGUGGUGAGAAGUGUGGGGUUGUAAAGGCAUCCAAGAAAAUACUUCAAUUGCGAUUAAAUUAACCAUAGGAACUUUUCAAACAGUUAUAUUAUGAAUAUAACGCAAUUGGAUCCGUAUAGAAUAAUACAUCACAAUCAAGAUUCGUUUUCAUGACAAUUCAAUCCACCACUAACGUAGGAUCUAUGCAUGUAUUAAUAAUACAUACAUAUGGCCUCGAUUUCAUCAAUCAAUGCCGGGAAGAGAACAAUCUUUCAAUCGAUUUCUUUCACGUCCAAAUCAUCCAACACGCAAUUGUCAUCGCCGCUAAUUAUUUUAUUUUAUUUUUUAUUAUUAAAAAAAACAAAUGUUUUUGGUGGAAGAGAAUACAUAAAUAUCAUAUUUUAAUUUAUUUUGAACUUCUAAACCUUACAAAUGCUUUUUCUAUCAAGUGAAAAGGUAAUUAACUAGAGAUUAUAAAAUGAAAACCAAAUGAAUAGAUUAGGAAGCUACCGUUAGAGUCGGCACCAAGAGGGGGGGUGAAUUAGUGCAGCGGUCAAAUAUCGUCGGUUUAAAAACUUCGUUGCGAUAAAACUGUUUCCGACGUAAACCGAUUUCGGAAGCUUAAUAACUUGGAAGCGUAUGAAAGCGUAGUGACUAAGUAAAGUAGUUUGCUGUAUGUAAAUGACAAGAAUAAAAUACAAACCAGUGGUUCGGUCUACGUGACCUACAUCUACUUUCGGCGAACUCCUCCGAUGAGAUCACCGACGUCCACUAGAUGCCUUCCUUCAAUAGGCGAAGGCCAAUCACCUUAUACACCCCUCUUCUCCUUUUACCGGGUUUAGGAGACAACCCUUAGAAGCACUCACUCACUUCUCUCUCAAACUAGUCAACACUUAAAAGAGGGAGAGGAGAUCACACAAGAUUUUAGCAGCGUUUCUUUCUUUUUAAACUCAGCGUUUCUUUCUUUUUAAACUCUUUGUGCCACGAUGGUGAGAAUUCUUGGGGCACUGUUUGGGCUUCUUAUUGGGCCCAACACAAUUCUUUCAUGGGCCUAGAUGGCCCUUAAUUGGGUUGGCCCAAAUCCAAGCCCAAUUACGUACUAAUUAUGAUUCCUAAGACAUAUUCUAAGCUAAACAUGUCCGUAAGUCUUGGUUCUUCUAGCGAGCUUCCGGCGAACUUUUGACGAUCUCUCGGUAAUGUUCCGACGAACUCCCGGCAAGCUCCUAAACUUCACGACGAUCUUCUUGGCGAGUUCCGACGAGCUUCUUUGCAAGCUCCACGACUUCUCGGCUAGUUCCGCCAGAACUUUCGACGAACUCUCGAACUCCCAAUGAUGUCGCGUCCUUGACUCCGGGACUUCAGUUUGCUUCAUGCCUUGCUCUCGUAGUUAAUCCUGCACAUGUAAAAACACACUUCGAUCUAGAAAAUUAAUACUAAGCAUUAAUCAAGUUGUCCGGUAUGUCAUUGGUCCCUCGACGCUUCGUCUAAUUUUUCGUCGCAUCGUCCUCUCUUGCGGCCUAUUGCCCAAUCGGCUAGUUGACUCCGCAACUCCGAUAUCCUUGGCGCAAUAUCCUCUCUUCUUGGCCCGAUGCCCGAAUCUAUGGCCCGAAGCCUUCUGUCGAUACGUCGACCGAUCCACCGGUCCGACGUCCAAUCUUCUGACAUGUUCCUCAUUCUCAACAUGAUUUUUCUUGCUUUAAUUGUCUCAUCCUGAUCGAAGCAUCAUACGUCACUCAAAAUACAGAUUAAAACAUAAAUACACAUCAGUUGGUUUCAUCAUCAAAAUACGAGAUUCAACCGCUACUUAGCUACAUCAUUACUUUUUCUUUUUUAAAGAUAUGGGGGUGUUUAUAUUUAAUAAAAAAAGUAAAAAAAUUCCCCAGUCAAUAUUCAAAAUUUAUCGAUAUUUAUUAUCCGUAAAUAUAAUAAAAUUUGAAUGCUUUAGAGGGUUUUAGUUUAUUUUUAUUAUAGAACUAACUUAAGGUAUUAUUACCCACUUAACAUCCUCGUCCAAUCGUUAUUAGAGAUCGAUUCGAUGAGAUAAUCGAUCCAUUAAUUUUUAUUAUUAUUAAUCUAAUUUUAUUAUAGUAAUCUCACCUGAUUAUUAUAAAUCGAUUCAGAUUCUGCAUGCAUGGGAAGCCAUCAACAUUCGUCCAAGUGCGCAGCGUUCUACGCGUCGGCUGCAGGCACAGCGACUCCUGGCAGUCCUCAGGACCACUGGACUUUCCCAGAAAUAGCUGGACCCACAUGUCUCCCCCAGAGGGAACCCGCCACGUGUACCCGCUACAGGAAACCCAAAUCGACAGAGCAACAAACGAAACAAAAGGCUGUCGUAUUGUCUUAUUAUGUAUAACAUUUACAAAAACCUAAAACAGUAAUAAAAAAAGAGAGAUAUAUAUAUAAACCUUUUAUAAGAGAAAAAUAAGGGGGAAGUCGUCGCAUUCGUUUCCUCCUCUUCUUCCAGCCACACACACACAUACACACACACACACCACCGAAGGUCCCGAUCUCCCCUGCAAACCGGAGUGACGCCGGGCUCUUUCUUGCCAUCGGAUAACCAGUCUUCUUUAAAGCAACGGCAUCGCACAGAGACGUAACCAAUCCGUCCUUCGCCUCCGACGACGAAGAAGAAACAGGUUUACUUUCUGGAUUUGCUUUCUUCGAUCCGCGAUGUUAAAUCUUGGUCCUUCUGUCCACGAGACGUCAGAGGUGACGGCAAUCCAAGGCAGAAAGCGUGGUCCGACUACAACCGGCCUUUAAAGAUCCAUCAUUGUUCGUUGACAGAUCCUGCGAGCCGCUUUCCUUCACGGUGACCGGUUCACGGUUGCCACCGGCUGAUUUGUUUUCGUUCGCCUUUUCUUUUGAUAAGAUGUCUCUUCUUUUGUCACUAUGUUCUGGUCUUGAGAAUUAUCGCAUUCUGAGGAGUUGCCUCGAUCGUGCGUUCAUGAUUGCCUGCUGUGAUUUCCGGUUUUGAUUUCCUUUUGUGAUGCUUGUGAAGGCCCGCUCCGUUCUGUGCUACCGCUGUUCUGGGAUCAUACACUUUUGUUGCUCUUGAUGCGACUGGUGCAUAUGAUUUCGGGAACGUAGAGUUCGUCCAUGUUUGGUGCAAGGUCUCUGCCUUGCGACGUAUCUGACAAGGUAGUGGAGACUCCAAGAUUUUGGCUGUAUAAGAAUCAAUAAUUGAUCCAAGAAGCAAGAAGACUGUGACAGACUUCACACGCCAUGGUUGCUCUUGAAGGUAAAGUCCGCGGACCUGUACUCUCGCAUCAAUUCUUGCAUUUUUCUGCUCCACUGAGUUCUUUCUCUUGGCUAGAUGCUUGGAUGGCCUUCUGUGGUGAUUCUGCUUCUGCCGAUCAAGAUGGCGGUUCUUUCGGAUUUGGCGAACUAUUCUACUCUUCUUCAUGCAUGAACCACAUGUUCGUCAGUUUUGUCGAUGCGAUCCUCAUCAUCGCGUUCCUGCUCAACUUUGUCUGCAAAGUCUCAAGCAGAUCAGUCGACGCUCGACCGCUCUUCGGUCUGUCUUCUUCGUUACGAAUAACCGCUGCUGUGUUCAACUCUUUGCUGGGGUUGGUCUAUUUGGGCCAUGGAUUGUGGAUGCUGGUCGGCAAUCAAAGGACUGGCAUGGAUGGUGUGCACCCUGCACAUCAGUGGCUACUUGUUUUGUCGCAGGGCUUUUGUUCGGUGCUCGUCGUUUUGAUUGUUAGCGUCAGGCGCACACGAUUUGGACACACAUUCAUUAGGAUCUGGUCUCUCGCUGCUUCAUUCUCCACUGGAUUUGUAUGCUUUUCGUCCGUUCUAGCGGUCCUCGCAGAGAAAAAAGCAUCUUUUCUGAUUUGUGUGGAUAUCUUAUCCUUACCAGGAGCUGUUCUGCUGCUACUUUGCACCUUUAAAGGGUACCAGGCAGAUGGUUACGAAGCAGCUGACGGAUCUCUGUAUGAACCUCUCAAAGGUGAAUCCAACCCCAGUGAAGAAAAUUCAGAUGAAUCUGUGACUCCUUUCGCAAAAGCUGGAUUCUUUAGUAGGAUGUCAUUCUGGUGGUUGAACCCUUUGAUGAAGAAGGGGUAUCAAAGGCCCCUGGAGGAAAAGGAUAUCCCUCAGCUUGGAAAGGUAGAUCGAGCUGAGACUUGUUACUUGCUGUUUCUGGAGCAGCUAAAUAGACAGAAGGAGAGGCGACAAACCAGUUCGCCCUCGAUAUUGUGGGCUAUAGUUUCUUGCUUUCAGAAGGAGAUCUUAGUGUCUGGGUUUUUCGCAUUGCUUAAGAUACUGACACUAUCGGCUGGUCCACUGCUUCUCAAUGCCUUCAUCAAGGUGUCAUUAGGGAACGAGGUCUUCAAGCACGAAGGUUAUGUGCUGGCCUUUGGAAUGUUCUUGGCCAAAUGUUUGGAGUCAUUGUCCCAAAGACAGUGGUACUUUCGCACCAGAAGGAUAGGACUGCAAGUGCGGUCUUUGUUAUCAGCGGCUAUUUAUCAGAAGCAGUUGAAGCUGUCAAACUCGGCUAAAUUGGAUCAUUCCUCCGGGGAGAUAAUGAACUAUGUUACAGUGGAUGCCUAUAGGAUUGGGGAGUUCCCAUUUUGGUUUCAUCAAACGUGGACUACAAGCCUCCAACUCUGCAUUGCUUUGGUAAUUCUCUACCAUGCAGUAGGCCUUGCAACGAUUUCGGCGAUGGUUGUGAUUGUCCUCACCGUGCUUUGCAAUGCUCCCCUGGCAAAGCUACAACAUAAGUUUCAGACGAGGCUAAUGGAAGCUCAGGAUAUCAGGCUGAAGGCUGUAUCAGAAGCCUUGGUGAACAUGAAGGUGCUGAAGCUGUAUGCUUGGGAAACACACUUCAAGAAGGUGAUCGAAGGUCUGAGGGAAACCGAAUGCAAGUGGCUGUCGGCAUUUCAGCUUCGGAGAGCAUACAAUAGCUUCCUCUUUUGGACGUCCCCUGUACUUGUGUCAGCGGCUGCGUUUUCCACAUGCUAUUUUCUUCACAUUCCUCUUAAUCCUAGCAAUGUCUUCACCUUUGUGGCGACGUUGCGUCUCGUCCAAGACCCAGUGAGACAAAUACCUGAUGUGAUUGGUGUUGUGAUUCAAGCUAAGGUUGCCUUUGCGCGAAUACUCAAGUUUCUGGAUGCACCUGAGCUACAAAGCCACCAACUAAGAAACUUUUCCCAGGCCAACGUCGAGCACCCAGUUGCGAUCGAGGCUGGAAGCUUUUCUUGGGAGGAGAACACGAUGAAGCCAACGCUUAGGGGUAUUAACUUGGUGGUUAAGGCUAAGGAGAAGGUGGCAAUUUGCGGUGAAGUUGGCUCAGGAAAGUCAACUCUCUUGGCUGCUAUUUUGAGAGAGAUCCCAAAGACAGAGGGAAUGGUACGUUCUUGUUCAUCCUACUCAAUUUUUGUCGAUACCGAAUCAUACUAUUGCAUCAUUGCUCGUCUACUGCAAUCCUAAUUCUUGCUCUUUCUUUGGCUGUUUGUGAUUUAUAACUGGUUUUGCUUCUUCUCUUCUUUUUCAUCUUGGAUGAACAGAUUCAAGUUUCAGGAAAAAUUGCAUAUGUUUCUCAAACAGCAUGGAUACAAACAGGAAGCAUACAAGACAACAUUCUGUUCGGAUCAGCUAUGGAUCAGCAAAAAUACCAGAGGACACUAGAAAAGUGCUCUCUGGUAAAGGAUAUCGAAAUGCUGCCAUUUGGAGAUCUCACUGAAAUAGGAGAAAGAGGUGUCAAUCUCAGUGGUGGUCAGAAGCAGCGCAUUCAACUUGCCCGUGCACUCUAUCAAGAUGCUGACAUAUACCUCUUGGAUGAUCCUUUUAGUGCUGUUGAUGCCCACACAGCUACCAGUCUAUUUAAUGUAAUGGCUUCUACAUUAAAUACCUUAUGUCAAUGAUAUAUAUUUCCCUGUUUGAUCUGAAAGUUUAGUGCUGUUUUUUUUUCUCUUCUCGAAGGAAUAUGUUAUGGGUGCUCUGGCAGAGAAAACAGUUCUUCUGGUCACUCACCAAGUCGAUUUCCUUCCAGUUUUUGACUCAAUUUUGGUUAGUCUUUGAAUUAUCUGCCAUACAACUUCCGUAGUUUAUUGUGUUAUGCAUUCAUCACUGUCAUGUCUCUUUGCUAAACAUUAUUUAUACUCUGUUUACCUGUGGCAGUUGAUGUCGGAUGGGGAAGUUCGUAGUGCUGCUCCUUACAACGAGCUAUUGGCUUCUAGCAAAGCAUUUGAAGACCUUGUUAGUGCACACAAGGACACGGUCGGUCCCGGAAGACUCGAAGGUGUUGGUUCGCAGAGACAAAGCAAGACAUCUGCAAGAGAGAUCAACAGUAGCAAGAAACAAGAAAUGGUGAAACCAUCAGGACGAGAUCAACUGAUAAAGAAGGAGGAGAAAGAAAGUGGUGAUACGGGUCUUAAGCCUUACAAACAGUAUCUGGGCCAGAACAAGGGGUACCUGUAUGCCUCGAUAUCAGCUCUUUCUCAUUUGAUCUUUGUAGCUGGCCAGAUCUCGCAGAAUUCAUGGAUGGCUGCCAAGGUUCAAGAUCCUCAAGUCAGCAUGUUUCUACUAAUCGUGGUGUACUUGUCAAUUGGGUUCAGCACCGUCCUCUUCUUGCUAAGUAGAUCCAUUUUUGUAGUGGUUCUCGGUAUCCAGUCUUCCAAGUCAUUGUUCUUCGAGCUCAUGAACUCGCUGUUCCGUGCUCCAAUGUCAUUUUUCGACUCCACGCCCAUUGGAAGGAUUCUAAGUCGGGUAAGCAUGUCCGAAUCAAACUCAACUUCCUUUCUGUAGUAAUAUGGAGCCUUUAAUUAUGAAGAAAAUUCACACGUUUAUCGAGCUAAUAUUUCUCUCUCAGGUUUCAUCCGACUUGAGUCUGGUUGAUCUCGAUGUUCCAUUUAGCUUCAUCUUCAGCGUCAGUGCUACACUGAACGCAUACAGCAAUCUUGCAGUACUCGCUUUUGUGACAUGGCCAGUUUUAUUUGUUUCCAUACCAAUGGUCUACCUCACCAUUCGAUUGCAGGUGAUCUCCACAACUGUGUUUUCUGAUUCUUGGAUGUUAACUGCUAUCUUGACCGAGUAACCGAUGCUUGUGUUGUAUGCUGGAUCUGCAGAGGUACUACUUGGUUUCUGCUAAGGAGUUGAUGCGCAUUAAUGGAACCACAAAGUCUCUGGUGGCGAAUCAUCUGGCUGAGUCCAUAUCUGGAGCAACAACAAUAAGGGCUUUUGAGGAGGAAGAUCGAUUCUUUUCCAAAAGUUUGGAGCUCAUCGACAAAAAUGCGAGUCCCUUCUUCCAUAAUUUUGCUGCCAGUGAGUGGUUGAUUCAACGAUUAGAGACUAUGAGUGCUGCCAUCGUUUCUUCAUCGGCACUCAUCAUGGCUUUGCUUCCUCCAGGAACUUUUAGCUCCGGUAAGCAUUCAAAUACAAAUCGUCCUUCACUGCUUCGUCGUGCAUUGCUAUAUGUGGUGAAAUCAUGAUUUAUAUAUUCCUGAUCAGCAAAUACAAGAAUUUAGUAGAUCAAUUUCUUUUAACAAUAAUGGAAAUUGUUACAUCUGAUCAAGUGAAAAUUAAGUUAACUUCAUCAAUUUCCCUAUGGAUUCCCUCUGAAACAUUCAUCUUUAACACUGUUCAAUCCUGUGUGACCAAGCAAUACAGUUGUCUUUGUGGACUGUUUAGCUCUUUGUUCUUAGAGGGAUCAGACUUAGAACUAUGAAAAACACACAUGAUGAAACUAACAAUUUGCAUGUAAGCAUAUGUACAUCUGUGCGAAAUAUCGAUUCUUCGUUUUAGAGAGUAGAUAGAUAGAUGUAAGUGGACCCAAAUGAACUGUUGUUUAAUUCCUCAAUUCUGGCACAGGUUUUGUUGGAAUGGCACUGUCUUAUGGUCUUUCUUUGAACAUGUCGCUGGUCUUCUCUAUCCAAAACCAGUGCACUCUAGCAAAUCACAUCAUAUCAGUAGAAAGGCUGAAUCAAUACAUGCAUGUCAGCAGUGAGGCCCCAGAAAUCGUUCGAGGCAAUCGGCCGCCAUCCGAUUGGCCCGCUAUUGGUAGAGUAGAACUUCGUGAUUUGAAGGUAAACUUCAACAAAGCACACUUUUUUCUCGGAAUAUUUACUUCGAUUCUAAUUUUGAAUGGAGUAAGAUUAAUGUUCCCUUAAAUCUCCACAAACAGAUCAGAUACAGGCCUGAGGCACCCCUUGUACUCCGCGGAAUCAGCUGUACGUUCGAAGGGGGCAACAAGAUUGGGAUAGUUGGAAGGACGGGAAGUGGUAAGACAACUCUGAUAGGUGCAUUGUUUCGUCUCGUUGAGCCCGCAGGAGGAAGAAUCACCAUUGACGCUCUUGAUAUCGCCACGAUUGGGCUACAUGAUCUGAGGUCACGUCUCGGAAUCAUCCCUCAGGAUCCAACCCUCUUUCAUGGUUCUGUCAGAUACAAUUUGGAUCCUUUGGGACAGUAUACGGAUCAGCAGAUCUGGGAGGUAUAUAUAUAGUGGUUUUCGAUCUAUACUAUCAUAUCUAAAAUAUUAAUUUCUCAGCGAGAACCAAAAAUUUAUUCUGGUUAUGAGAAAACAUUGUCGAUUGAGUCCGUCUUCUUUACAAUCCUAAAGGUUCUCGACAAGUGCCAGCUACAGGAAGCUGUUCAAGAGAAACACAAGGGGUUGGAUUCACUAGGCAAGACACAGCAACACUAUGUGAUGUCUCUUUCUUUGUGUAAUAGAACCGUGAUACUAACUAAUUUUGCUUGAGACCUACUUGCACUGCAGUGGUUGAAGAUGGAUCGAAUUGGAGCAUGGGGCAAAGACAAUUGUUUUGCCUGGGACGUGCACUUCUAAGGAGGAGUCGCAUACUAGUGCUCGAUGAAGCCACGGCAUCCAUCGACAAUGCCACCGAUGCCAUUCUUCAGAAGACCAUAAGAACCGAGUUUGCAGAUUGCACAGUCAUCACGGUUGCUCAUCGCAUCCCAACUGUGAUGGACUGCAACAUGGUGCUUGCUAUCAGUGAUGGUGAGUCCUUUCUGCAUUUGCUCAUCCAACCCCAACUGUUGUUAUCACGUAGAACAACAGCGUAGAGAUGGCAGAAGAGCAGCUUAAACGAGUGUUGAUAAACACCUGUUUCUUCUGUUGGUUCAGGAAAAUUGGAGGAGUAUGAUGAACCCAUGAAACUGAUGGAAAGAGAGGGAUCGCUCUUCGGGUCGCUCGUCAAGGAGUACUGGUCACAUGCUGCAAAUGCAACCAUCCAAUUCACGGACUCGCACUGAAGAAUCCGAAUCCCUUCGUGACUCUCAGCUUCCUCCACUGGAUAUAGCUAAAAGAGACGUGCAAAUUUAUAUCGAGAUGUAACAUCUUGUCUCGUUGGUUUGACUGCUUUGGGAACAUCAAGAGUCGUAAACGUGAAACCCCAUGGUGUCACAAAGUUGUUAAUGCAUGUAAAUGAUGGUCGAUUUCAGGGCAACUUUGUGAUCUUUAGUGCUCGUUAACAAUUGUUGUAUCAGAUAUGAUCAUCAAUGUCAAACAACCAAUCAAUAUAUACGGUCCAAUCUGUCAUUAAACCAGGGUGUUUCUACUUUGAUCAUUUUUCUUGAUCUCAUCAUUAGUCUUUUUAGGAUUAUAUCUAUCUAUCUAUCUAUCUAUCUAUCUAUCUAUCUAUCGUGACCGGAAGCGAUUUUGAUAGUUCAUGCAUAUCCAAGUUGUAUAUGUGUCCUAAUGAUGCAAGUGAUGGAACAUCCAAAUGUUGUGAAUAAUUUUUAUAAUAAUCUAUAGAAUUGUGUUUUUUUUUAGUAUGAUUUUGCUCUUGGUCCAACUCUUCAUCUGAACCUUUCAAGUUUCAACAUUCUCAGCAUAUUGUCCCUUAGUUAAGGAAGUUAUGAUAGUAGAUAAGAUAUUUAGGUAAAUUUUGAUGUCAAAUAAUUUAUGUUCAAGACUCAAACCUUUUACUAAGACUACACAAAAAUUUGUCUAUUUAUCUAUCAGUCAAAAAACACUUUUAAGGUUGAUCGCUUCUGUUAUAUAUGGUGGGAACCGACUCUAAUAAAUAGAUGCUUAAUAUGAAGAGAAAAAUGAUGGGCAGAUAAUAAAUAGAAAAAAGAGAAAUGGAGAGAGAAAGAAGGUGAGAAAAACUUGAUUUGUAAAAGUAUUAUUUAAAAAAUAAAUAAAAAAGUUAGAGUUUAUCGCGUAUGAAGAUCAUCAAGGACGAUAAUUUGGACAUCCUUUCUAUUAACUUAGGUUGCUUAGAUAUUGAUACAUGAGUCCUUAUUGUAAGUUGGCUAAGGAGAGGAGGCAAAUCUAUAAUGUCCUAAUCAGAUCUACUUUGGUACCAAAGGUUGGUACUUAAAUUAGGUUAGUGGGUUAAAAAAAAUUGAUGAGGAAACCGAUAGAAAGGAUAAAGAGACGAUAAGAAGUUAAACUAAUACUUUUAGUAGGCAAUAAAAAAAUCAACCAUAAGCUUAAGCUCUCAUAAUAUUUCAUACUUAUUGAUGAACUAGUCAAAGUAAGAGUCAAAGCUUAAAUGAUUACCGUUGGCUACUAUUGGUGAACUGAUGCGCCGUGGCUGAUGAGUCGGCACGGCUUGGUCCACGAGUCGAUGUCGGGAGUUCCCGAUCGAUUCGGAGAGACACCUUGGCUGAUUACGUCCGCAAGUCGAGAUGCCGACGUCGUCUAAGGGGAAGCACCUCUCGAUUGGGACACUAGCAUUGUCUUCGGGGAGGGGUCUCUCGGUCAGGACACUAGCAUCGUCUAUGGAAAAGGCGUCUCUCGGUUGGGGUAGUCGCACUUCCGGGGCGACAGCCCCUCGAUGACUAAGUUAGUGGUUGGUUUUCUCUUUUUUUCUCCCUCUGGUCGGAUGCCGGUUAGGGGCUUUUAUAUUACUAUAUGAGGAUCAGCUGUAUGGGGGUUUGGCACGGCAAUCGUUCCCCGAGUGGCGAGGUGGUACCUUCGUGCAGUCGUCGUCCCGGAAUGCACGGAACGACUCCAUGCGAUGCCAUCCCGAGCUUUUUGGGAUGGGAUGUACCGAGAAGCGUCUUAGUACGGAUCAUAUCUUGGCGCGUACAAAUACUCCUCCUGAUUCGACAAGGGCGUGAUGCGAUAUUGGUGGUGACAUGAUUGAGGCCCAAAAUAUGCCUUAUCAGCUACCAUUUGCGAGAACGUUUUCUACCUAUCUUGAUAUCAUAAAUGAUUACUACGGGCUCAUUAAAUUUGCGGAUUUGGCUGCUGUUGAAGAUCUAUGCUCGUAGAUGAUGCCAUAUUCUACGAACGCAUAUACACCAAUAAUAAGCAUGUGUCGCACAACAGGGGAAAUGAGAAGGUACAGGUCACUCGAGAAUUUUGGACGUACAAGAAACAAUAAUUUAUCCAAGAAGCAAGAAGACUGUGACAGAGUUCACAACCCAUGGCUGCCCUUGCAGGAACAGUCCCCAAAUCUGUACUCUAUCCUCAAAUCUUUUGUUUUUCUGCUCUACUGAGACACCGAGAUCCUUCUCAUGGUUAGAUGCUUGGAUGGCCUUCUGUGGUGAUUCUGCUUGUGCUGAUCAAGAUGGCGGUUCUCGUGGAUUUGGCGAACUAUUCUACUCUUCUUCAUGCAUGAACCACAUGUUCGUCAGUUUUGUCGAUGCGAUCCUCAUCAUCGCGUUCCUGCUCAACUUUGCACGCAAUGUUUCAAGCAGAUCAGUCGAUGCUCGACCGUUCUUCGGUUUGUCUUCUUCGUUACGAAUAACCGCUGCUGUGUUCAACUCUUUGCUGGGGUUGGUCUAUUUAGGCCAUGGACUGUGGAUGCUGGUUGGCAAUCUAAGGACAGGCAUGGGUGGUGUGCACCCUCCACUUCAGUGGCUACUUGUUUUGUCGCAGGGCUUUUGUUCGGUGCUCGUCGUUUUGAUUGCUUUGUGAACAUGAAGAGUUACUAAAUGAGAAACCUCAUGUCUUCACAAGGAUGAUCUUAAUACGCGUAAAUGAUGGUCGAUUUCGAGGCUGCUAAAUGAGAAACCUCAUGGCUUCACAUGUCUUCAGUGCUCGGUACCAAUUGUAUCCGAGUGUUUCACUUUCCUAAUCAUUAAUAGUCGGAUUCUGUCGCGAUAUCUCUGUAUCUCCUUAUGCAGAAAGAAAAAUGAGUUGUUUACACAGGUAAUUUGGCCACCAAAUAGAUCCCAUCCUCCCUGAACAGAAACUUAAUGCUUUGUUGCUAAUUGGUUUUAUGAUCUCUCUCUAAUAUGUUUCCUUGCUUUUUUUGACCAAUCAAUUGAAACAAAUCUUUAUCAUACAUAUUUCUGCAGCCUUUAUCUAUUCCAUAGAUUCAUUUCCUUUUAGAUCAGAUGUUUCAAGUAAUCAGAGCGAGCAGAGAAAGGGAUUCCAACUCUCCUCACUUUGAUCCACUCAUCCAUCUCUCCCAAUUUAAAUAAUAUUAAAAUUUUAACUAUUUCAAUGAACCUAAUCAGUGGGUCCCUGCAGCUGGUGAAUUGCGAAUCGAUCACACUCGUUCUGAAUUAGGGUGUUUCUUUCAAAGCAAAUGCAGCUUCUCUUUAUCAUGCCAAAAGGUUGAUCACACUCUUUUAAGUAUGCUACAAAUUACGUAUUGAUAUGCUUCGAUCACGGAAAUCCACUGAAAGCUAUAACAUGAAACACACCAUUUUACAACAGUCAUGUCGACAAGGAAGGCAAGAAUCAAAUAUACCCUUUUAAUGGGUUUUUACUCAGAUAAAUUCUCAAGUUUACAGAUUGUUAAGCAUAGCAGGAGCUAAAGUUUUGAAAUUCAUAGUUAUCAUAAAAGAGAUUUCAAACCAUCCUCUUCAAACAAAAUUACUAUGAACAAUAUAAUGCAUGAUUAUGUUGUGGUUUAAAAAGAAAACAAGUCGGUGGUAAAAGGUACAAAAAAACUUUCUAGCAUUACUAUGAACAAUCAAGAUAUUCAUUACAUAGGCCGUAACUAGCGCACAUGAACAUCUGAGUGAAAUACAAAAUUUAUAGAGGAAUGGAUGGUUUAGUGAGAGACAAACCAGUCUGCAUCCUUCACUCUCCAAAGUACCUGCGUAUCGGCAUCACUUGCUUCUUUUCAUUGUCUGAUGCUUUCAGACGAGCUUGCUGUCCCUCUAACCUUGCUUCAAGCAAUCUCGCCUUCAAUGUAUUCUCUUUUACACCUUCUGCUAAUUUUGAUGAGGAUCGAGAUAUAUCAACAUCUGGAGACUUGUGUUGCUCAAUACAAUUUAGAUUUGAACUUGUGUUUCGGAAAUGUCCUGAAGCAAUGCCCUCACUUGCUACAAGAAAAUGAUCCUUCGACGAGGAAUGACUAUGGUGCUCGUCUCCAUGAGAUAUAUUAUGAUCGACUUUACAACACUCGGAAUUUUCUGCAACAUUGUUCACAGAAUUAGCAAUCAGGUGGUCUAGACGACGCCCAUUAUCCCACUUCAUUUUCAUGUCCUGUGAAACUUCAAGCGCAUGGAAGUGACUAAAAACUUGAGGUUUAUUAAUUCUGAUAUGAUCAGCUACUCUUCCUUCAGAUUCAGGAUUGCUGUCCGGAUGCUUUCCUUGUGUUCUGUUUGACAGCUGCAUUUGGCUUCCACAUGACUUAGUUUCAUCCUUUUCUUCCCUGCACUUCAAAUGCAAGCUAGAUGAAAUCUGAUUCUUGCUCUUUUCAGAAGAUCCCCUCUCUUCGACUGAGAAAGUAGACCUUUUGGUUCUGGAAGAAUCAAACUUUUCUACAACAUUAUGACCAUUCCGCUGUUGCUGGUCAAUGCUGACAGUGUUACUUGCACCCAUAUUUAGUUCAAAGCAGUGCAAAUCACUUGCAACAGAAUCAUCAUCAUCAUCAGCAUCUUGCGGUGCACUAGCAGCACCAUUUAAGUGGACAGACUCAAGUGACUGCCGCCGCAAAUUGAUCUCUCUCUUUUCAUGGUUCUCAUACAGAUAACCAUUAUUAGAGACAGAUGACCUACUAGCUUGAAUGAAGGCUUCAAUUUCACUUCGUAAUCUAUCUGCAACCAUGGUUUUAUUAGCAAUAUCUCCUCGAGCUUCAGCGAUAUUCAUCUGCUCUCUCUCAUCCAGCCAUGCCUCUGAAAUAUGAAGUACCAACCGAUCAACUUUGUGAUCGCAAACUUUUACAGACCUUUGCUUCAACUGCCUCACUUCAUGUUCAUAAUCCCUGAUUCCCUUAGCAAACUCAUCGCAGAGAUCCUCCAGAAGGCCAUUUGUUUUUCUCACAUUUUCUAGAUCUUUUGCAGCCUUCAUAAAUGCUGCUUUUGCUUCAGACAAUUCUUUACCUAGUUUUCUAUGCAGACUUUCAGAGCGUUUUCUUAGCCGUCUCUCAUCUUCAAGCUCAUCCCUUAUUGACUGCACUACAGCUUUGAUCCGCUGUUGCUCUUUCUCCUUCCUAAUUAUUUUAUCCUCAGUAACUUGCUUCAUUAAAUGAUCCAUUUCACCACGAUAUGCAUGCUGCUCUUGCAUCAGCUCCUGAAUUCGUGCUCUUGCAUGUUCCAACUCCCCCUUCAGUGCUUUCACCAAUGACGCAUUGGACUCAUUGUGUUCUUCAAGGCUCCAAAUGUGAUUCAAUACUUUCAAGAGUUCUGUUGAUGUUCUCAAACCAUAUCCUGCAUCUCCAAACUUAUCCUUGAGAUCAGUAGCACUGCUAUGAGUGAUGGCUAGGUUAAAUGGAGCAAUCUGCCAGUGACAUGACCAAAGAACAAGAAAGUUAAUAGUAGUACAACAACAAUGAAACCGUACUCUCCCAACUAAGAACAUUGACUAAACUGCCAGAACAAAGAUUCUUAUUGGAAUAAAGAACAUUUAGUAAUGCAUAUACAUUUAAAAGCUGACAGAUCAAUGUUUGUAUUAAGAAUUCCAUUGUGUACAAACUAUGGCUUGCCUCAUUCACCAAGAUGAGUCCUUUAACUAUUCAAUUAACCGAAGAUAGUUUCAAGCAAUGAAAUCUCGCGAAAAAAAGGCCCCAUGGAGUUAAGCAAACAAGCUAUAAAGCCAAAACAAACAUUACCUUAUAUGAACUCGUAUAACUUGCAGGAGAAACAGGUUGCAAAUUAUGACUGUUCCCUUCAUGCAAAUGCUGAUGCUUGAUCGAUGAAGCUUCAACAUGCCUCCUCAAACUGCCUACACUCUGAGGCUGGCAUGAGAAAUCAGACAAACUCACACAAACUGAAGAUGUCUCAACAUGAAUAACAAGUCACUUCAGAUAAAAUGUGCAAAGUCUAAAUGAGCUUGAAAAAGUAAAAAAUAUAUAACCAACUGACAAAUAGUUGUCAUCUCGAUGAUGAUGAUAGAUUUUGGAGUAAAGGUUCCAUGACAAAUUGCAAAAUAAAACUUGAGAACAUGCACUCACAAAUUAUGUGAAACACAAAAAAAGGUAAAGUACAACAUAAGAUGCCAGUGCUUUAGAAACAAACACAUCUUUUGGAAAAAAAAAACACAUGAAAUAUUUGAGCGAGCAUCCCACCAGUAUAUGGAUAGCAUAUAUACCUGCUGUCCAUAGGUCCCAAGCACUUCGCCAUAAAAAAUUAGUUGGGAAGUUAUGCAUAACAUCUGGAGAUGCCUAUAUAAGAGGUGAUAAAGGAGAAAACCAGUACUUUUUAGGACAUCAGGUACAUGGUUUGACAUGUCAAAAAAUAAAAUUUGCCAAAUAAAUUACAGCUUAUUUAGAUUAAUGCAACUUACCAUUUUGGUUUUGUUAAAACUUGGCAUCCAUCCAAGGUAAGUCCUGACUAUACAACUCUUCAAGAUUUAUAGGUUUCCCCAUGGUUCUUAAGAAAAGGUAUUAUUAUGAACAAUGCAACACAUAUUCUCGGAUCCUUCCUCGUAUCAAAUUAGAUACAUAUCCAUGUGCUGAGUACAAAUCCAUAGUAUAGCCACUCACCAAACUCUUGCAUAUAAAUUUGAAAUAUCAACAAAUAUGAUGAUACCAGAAUUAGGAACUUGUUUUAGUUUCCAAGAUGGCAAGAUGUAGUUUUCUAAUAUUUUAUAUUCGUCCUAGUAAGCAUCACAGAUAAUUUAUUAAAGUUUCUCUUUGACUGUUGCAUUGACCCUCCCCAAACUCCACAUUUCCAAGAGCCUCAUUCACAUGUGUGAACAAACUCCUCUUUAUCUCCUUGUCACAAACACCAUGCAACACUGCUUAAGAAGGAACUGCAGUAGCCAAACUUUUGUUUAAUCGAACUUAUUUCUUCCUUUUCGCUAUUAUGGUGAUUGCUAGUUUCUUGUUCAAAAGAAUUUAUAAAACCUAUGACAACAUGGUAAGAUGAAAUUUUUAUGGCACAAGAAAUUUCUAGUAUUUGCCGGUUAUCAUUUCAUUUUACGACGUUUUCUAGUAAUCUUUACUGGUAUCUUUUAAUUUUACAACCAUCACCUUAGCAUCAAUACACACAGUCCAAAACAUGCAAACAAAAAAACCCAUGGUAUUUUGACUUCUAGCAAAAUAAAUGUUGACCUAAUUACCCUGACCAUCAUAAGAAAUUUAUGAUAUAACUUGGUAAAUUAUAUCAAGUUAAUUACCAAAGCUUUGGUAAUUUUGACUUCUAGCUUUGGUAAAUUCAAAAGCUGCUCGUGUCAUCCAAAAUUGAACCUAAUUACCCUGACCAUCAUAUAACUUGAAAAAGUCACCACUACAUAAUUUUUUCCUGACAUAGCAGAUUCAUUAUUGCUUUAACAAGGAGACUAUAAGUCCCAUGAUUGUACUGUAGGCCUUUCAACUUGCAUGAGGAAAAUAUAUAAUCUUUUCACUAUUAUUUGACAGGACCAGAAGAGACGCAAAUGCGGAAUUGCAUGAAAGAUUACUUUGUUCUGCUUAAGCUCGUGUUUCUUGUAGGGAUCUUUCUUUAGACAACAAGCGGAUGUGGUUUAUAGCCUGCCCAUGGACGAUGGUACGGAUUCAUUGCCAUCUAUAUAGUUUUUUACACAGCAACUAAAGUUUCAUAUAAAUGAAUCAUGAAUUCCUUCUCACAUCCUAUUGUUUAGCCUAUAAAUAACAGAAACUAACAGAUGACUAAUCCUUAUCUUUCCUUGUCUUCUAGCUGCAACAUGUUGCCUAUACACAUCCAAUUUGUACCUCUACUUGGACGUAGAUUAUAAUCACCAAUCAAUAUUCAUCAGUAUCAACAAAAGAGUUUCACUUCUUAUUACGAAUUAAAAGCAUGUCUAGGAGAAGCCCAUUAGUUCCAACCCAUACAUUUUCAUCUGUCACGAGAUAAUACUCUUUAGCAUACAUUACCGGAAUACCAGAUUGUCAUUAGCCAAAAAUCCAAGUAAUAAACUUUGACAAAAGCUGCAAGAGGACAACCACAGGAAAAUCUACGACAAUCAAGCCAACAAUGGAAAACCUCAUUCCAAGAAGGCAAGUUGAUCAAGAAAUUGCACCUUGCACAAGAAAAAUCAUACGUCAUAUGGAAUGAUAAAAGGUAGAGAUUGGAUCCCGGCGAAACGAAAUAGUUACAAGAAUAGAAAGCGAAGAAAUCCGCCAGCCAAUACCUAAAGAACUCAAAGCUUACCAAAUCUUCGUGCCCGAGUAUAUGCGACGGACCGAUACCGUCCUCGAGCGCCUUCCCAUCCCGACGGUGGCGGCGGAUCCUGGCGCCUCGCCGGCCGGCCGCGGACAUCGUCAGGACGUCCUGAAUCUCCCAGAGGCCAGCGCCAAGCUUGCGAGCGGAGACCGACCGCCGGUGCGGCUGGGCCUUGUCGGGGUCGGACAGUCCGGGCUCCUCCAGCUUCCAGGACGGCACCGGAGUGCAAAGGCCGCCCCUCCUGUUCGCGGAGAUGGCUCUCCUCAACUUCACGCCCAAAGGCGCCUCUUUUCCAGCGCCAUCCCCUUCACCCUCAUCGAUUGCUGCUGCUGCUGCUUUGUCCCCUUCCAUCAAUCCCCCUUAAAUCUCUCUUCCACCCUUCCCUUUAAAAAAGAGUAGACCUUUUUCUUCGCCCCGAGGUGCCCUCCCCCAUGUUCCUCUUGCUCUCUUUUUGAGCUCCCCCUCUUCUUCCUAGUGGAACCUCCGACUGCAGUCACUGCUAAUUUCGGUGUAACAGCCUGUUCUCCACGGGGACUGUAAGAUUCGACCCUUUUCUUCGCUCUCUCGCUGUCACGGGAAGGGAAUACUAGGGCUUAGAUUCCGGAAUACGAGGUGCUGCUCCCUUGUAUUUACAAGCUAAUGUUUUUUACUCUCUUCACCGUACGUACAUUAAAACAAAAUAAUAAUAAUUUACAUAUUAAAAAUAAUUUAAUAUCAUCGAACCGAUGCCCAAUUUCACCGGUUCAAUUGGGGUUGUGGGUCGGGUCAACCGUAGAGAGACGUUUUACGUGUCAUGAUUACGCUUCGGCACGUUAGUUCUCAUGCUCGUGAAUUUUAAUGCAGCGUAGAAGCAAGCUACACCCUUUUCCUCUCGCGCUCUCUCUGUUAUUCCUCAUCGUGGUUCCCACAGAGUUGGGGGUGGUACAGACUUCAAGCGUCGACAUUUAACUUGACUCACCACCAACAAAUCGAGACACAACAUCAACCAGCGUUCAGUGAAGCAGGUUCCGUGUCGGCCGGGUUGCGAAUCGAAUCACAGCAACGACUCGAGGGUUGCGGACAACCGAAUCAGUAUCUGCUGGGUGGACAGGAAUGACUCGUCUCUUUCUUGGCAACAAACCCAUUGCCUGCGUCCCGAUCUGCUGGACUGGAACGAAGGUCCAGUGUCGCACGACAGCCCCCACAUAAUUAGCAGUCCAUACGAUAUGGAUGUCUAUGGAUCGAGCUUUUCAUGCGAUCAUGUCGAUCUGACCCGUUUAAACCAGGUUCCGAUUCGCUAUGACUCCGGCAGCCAAUGCGAUCAUUGUCACAAGAAGCAUAAGAAACAUACAAUUCCUGGUGGACAACAUAUUCACGUGUAAAAGCAUCCCAACACACAGGAUCUCUGCCGACAGCUUAAAAAGAGCAUCAGUUGAACACAAUUCCACGUUUCGAGUACAAGAAAUUUGUAUAUUAUUCAUACUAGUUGAUAAUCUUUCUAGCGCCAAUCUAAUAAGGGACCAUUUGAUCGAUCGAUCAUUGGUGCGGCCCAUAGGCUCACGAAGAAUUAUCCAUUUUAAACGAUGAGCGUACUCAUUUGAUUUUUACCUUUGGGAAUAUGUAAAUUCUAAAAGGCAAUUCUAAGGAUAAGGGAGAUCCGACGAACUUAUGAGCUCUUGAUUCAUAUACUUCUCAACCAAUAUUGGACUAAAUGACCUUAUCAUCAUUCUUCAUAAGUGAUAGAUCCUUAAGGUCACUCCGGAAGGAAAAAGUGAAUCUCUUAUAGGUCAUUAUGAGGCUCAUACAACAUAAUGCUGUUUUUCCAAAAUAUUUGACAUGAGUAUCAGUUUCUGGGGAAAAAAAAUUGUGAUCACAGUGAAAAUUAGCCAAAUAGCCUAUGGAAUUUGCUACCCAGAGAUUUGAUAUGCUUAAGCAUGCUCGGAAUUAAUGAAUGACUUUUGUUAUCCCAAAAUACAUAAAUAAAUUGUUGAGUGGUAAAAAAAAUGAUGCUAGUCAACUGCAAGCACUGCCAUUUCAACAGCAACAUUUACCUCCAGGUUUUGCCAAUCACAGUGUAGAACAACAAGAAAAGUGAUGAAUGGUACAGGUACCAAGAUUAAGCUCUCACUAGUAUGAUAUCUAAGAAAUGGUCCUCUCUCUAACAGGUGGAAACAUCUUCAAGACAAUUUUAGGGUAACCAUGAGCAGUUCCAAUAGAUUUAAUUCCAUUAUCUAUUGGUUGUAUACAGUAUCCAUUGGCCUAUAAGUUUGUCUUAAUGAUGACAGAAUAAAACCAAAAUGGUUUGUUUUGACACUAAUGUUGUUCUUAAGUUCCUAACUUAAGCCCUAAUCAAGGGACUUUAUUGAAUAAUUUGCAUGGUGUUCAGAAUACUGCAAAAAAAAAAAUUGUCAAACAAGAAUCCAAUCAGACAUGUUCUUGAUGUGGAUAAUACUAUAGAAUACAACAAGAGAUGAAUUUGAAACCUAUACACACAAAAAGAUCUGAGAAAUUAUCCUAUGCAAAAAAAGAAAAACAAAGUGGCUGUUUCAAGGUAUAAGCUCUCCAGGAAAAUAUUGCUUCAGCAUUUUCAUGGGCAGGAAUUAGGAAAUGCAGGGAAGAUGUGAAUUGGAGAACAACAGCCAAUCUGCACUCCUGGCAGAAAAUUAAACUACUCAAAUGGUAAAGUUCACACCACAUUACCACAGGCUAUGAUUUUACAAGGAUCAAGUUCAGGGAAACCAUAUUGGGCCCAAAGGCCAUCUCAAUAUGCAAAAGCUUAGAAGACAAACAAUAAAAGGAUAUUAGAAAGGGUGGAAAAAGAAGGACAUGUUUAUGUGGAGUAAACAGACAAGCUCCCAGAAACCUUGGUUUAACUGGCACUAUGACCAGGGACCAAGAAAGUAAUUCUUGAUUUGCCACUAUCAUGAUAACAUAAUGCAACCUGAUACUGUUGCAUGAUUCUUCCAACAAUGAAGGCUUUCUUUUGCAAUUUACAAGACUGUGGCUGUUAUUCUGAUUGCAGGGACAUGCAUGAUCACACACAUUUCCUUUUCAUUCUCUUAGGCACAUCUUGUACAACAAAUCCCACACUAAGGUCCCCAUUCUCCAAUAUUCAAUCUGGUUUCUNNNNNNNNNNNNNNNNNNNNUCUUGUAACUUGCAAAAGAAAGCCUUCAUUGUUGGAAGAAUCAUGCAACAGUAGUAGGUUGCAUUAUGUCAUCAUGAUAGUGGCAAAUCAAGAAUUACUUUCUUGGCACAUAUUUCUGAUUGCAGGGACAUGCAUGAUCACACACAUUUCCUUUUCAUUCUCUUAGGCACGUCUUAUACAACAAAUCCCACACUAAGGUCCCCAUUCUCCAAUACUCAAUCUGGUUUCCUUCCCUUGCCAUGCACUAAAGCUAAGAACAAAGGGUGCCCUGGGCACCUGUAAAUUCUUCCCUGUCUAAUAUCGAUCUAUCAAAGAGAAACAAGCCAAUAUCUAUUAAGAAACAGUAUGAGUAAUUGCUUGUCACAAUCAGUUUCAACUUGUAGUCUGCUAGCUGCAAAACCGAGCAAACCCAGGGAAGUUAGUUAACAGUCCUUCCAUCAGAAAGACGUUGAAGGAACAUUUGGUUUAAAGGAGUGCCAUAGCCAGGAAAAGAAGCCCCUGCAAUCUAUUCUGUGCUGUAUCUUUUCCAUCACUUAAAAGUAGAACAAUCACCAUGACUACAAGCAACUAGUUAUUGAACUCCCUCGCACCUUCUACCUAGAAGAAACAGCACAGUAAUUGGGUCAUGGCAAAUUUUUAUUGCUUUGUUCUGAACGGUGUCCUGUUGCAAGUGUCGACCUUGGAGACAGAGCGUACAUUUAUGAUUCAACAGGCAAUAAAUGGGAACAUCUAGCCAUCAAAAGCUACGAUUCUGCCUAAAGCCUGACGAGUACUGAGAAGAACAAUAAAUAAACUAUCGGGAGAACAAAGAAAAGAAGAAGAGAGAAUAAUUCAACAGCAGGUCAGAACCAAUGCCAAAAGCCAGGGUUCUUUUCAGCACUGAACUGCUCCUUCCCCCGAACAUUUGCCCGCAACAGCUGCACCACAGCUGUAAUUAUUUAAUGCCAGAGCCCUCGCCCAUCAAAUCAACCAAUCCAAAUUACGUCCCACUCAAAGAUGACGCCUUUCUGACGUUAAGAGGGCUCGAGGAGGCACGGACGCAGCACGGCCUAGGGUUUACGCACCCACGUAAAUCCCACGAGCAUGGUAAAAUCAGAGAGGAAAAGGCCAAUAUUUACCAGUACGCCAGGACUCGAUUUUGGAAAGGCGAGACCGACGUGAAAUCCAAGAAAUGAAUGAAAAAGCAGCGCGUCGAAGAUGGGAAAGGGAUGUGACGACGACGUACCGAUGACUACGGUGCGGCGACCUUACGAGAGGAGGACGGCCACCUAGAGGGGUCACUGGAAGGGUGGACGCGAGUCGAGAUCGACGUUCCGUCGUCGGCUGAGAACAAGGUGGAAUCGGUGGAGGGAUUCUGGGGCUACGCGACGGCCACGGGAGCCAAUGAGGCGAUCGACCCACUGGGUAUAAGAACACUCCGGGUUUCUCGGAUUUCUCACACAUCCAAUAGAGGAAGAUGAAGUAUUCCCACAUUACAUUAUUUAUUGCUCAAUAAUAUUAAAACAAAUAAGAAAAUAUUUGUUAGAAAAUUUUAAAAUAACUUAAAUGAUCUUAAAUUUUUUUUUGUAAAAAAUAAAUUUUAAUUUACUUAUCCCUUUAGAUAUUAACAUCAUUCAUCUAAAUAUAUCACAUUAAUCUAAAAAAUAAAAAUUAGCCACCACUAAUUAUAAUUAGUGUUACCUAAUUUAAAUAAAAAAAAGGUAUAAUAAAUUCACAUUAAUCUAAUGUCAAUUGAAAAGUCAGAGAAUCAAAACUUAAUUAUAAAAAAUAAAAAAAUAUAUAUAUAUUUGAUAUGAUGGUGAUGUACCAAAUUUACUUACCACUAUAGUAUGAUUUCUAUGAGUUCUAAAAUAAUAAAACUAUAAAAUGAAGACAAACUUUAUAACUAUAAUUGUUUGGAAUGGAACAUUAUACUAUGAUCAUUUAUUAUAAUAGGGAGCAACUGAAAUGAGUGGGGAUGUAAAGAUGCCACACAACCCAUGCACCAUUAAAUAAUCAAAACACCCCUUGAAGAAUCUAUGUACUACAAUACUUUUCCUCUUGAUAGGUUUCGUUUGUUGAUUGGAGGAAGCUUUUUCUUUUGUGUGUGUGUGGAUUUGAUGAAGCUUCUUACGUUGGCAUGCCCACCCGAGAUGAGUCUCAUAACAGUGCACCAUCUCACCUCUCACUUGUCCUGCUUCACAGGGAUGUUUUGGACCAUACAUGAAGCAGUGUCAAAAUGGACAGCCAAAGACAAAAUCCACUGACCCAUAAGAAGAAGAUACAUUGGAUGCAUCACAUGUGAUUCAUGAUUGGCCUUGACUCCUUGGGUACUUGUACAAGUAACGCCACCAACCACUUGGAAAGCCUUUUCCUUUCUUUUCUUUUAGGUUUGGAAUACUUGAGCUAGAUUGCUCUGCCAGUGCAGGGAGGCAGCUCCAUCACGGCUCAGAACUAGCAGUACAACCAUGCUUCUCUCCUUUUAAUGGCUGGCUGGUAAUGGCACAGUUGGGGUGUGAGUGAAGGUGGCAGGGCCAGCGCUCAGGUCUGAGCCACCACCUGACAUCCCCUGACCUGCACUGGGGAGAGCUGUGAAGAGGCCCCCAGCCACACAAUUCCACCACCACCAAGCAUGAUAAGGUGGUGGUCAUAAGCAUGGUUCUUCUUCACUCAGCUAUUCUCAUGCACCUCCUCCUCCUCC